GACGAACGCUGGCGGCGUGCCUAAUACAUGCAAGUAGAACGCUGAAGGAGGAGCUUGCUCUUCUGGAUGAGUUGCGAACGGGUGAGUAACGCGUAGGUAACCUGCCUGGUAGCGGGGGAUAACUAUUGGAAACGAUAGCUAAUACCGCAUAACAGUAGAUGUUGCAUUACAUUUACUUAAAAGGUGCAAUUGCAUCACUACCAGAUGGAACUGCGUUGUAUUAGCUAGUUGGUGGGGUAACGGCUCACCAAGGCGACGAUCCAUAGCCGACCUAUGAGGGGGAUCGUCUACACUGUGGCGGGGACACGGGCCAGAGUCAAACGCGAGACACCAGUAGGGAGUAUUAGGCAAUGGACGUAAGUCUGACAGAGGAACGACGCGAGAGUGAAGAAGGUUUUCGGAUCGUAAAGCUCUGUUGUAAGAGAAGAACGAGUGUGAGAGUGGAAAGUUCACACUGUGACGGUAUCUUACCAGAAAGGGACGGCUAACUACGUGC
rnacentral:rRNA from 1 species